rfam:Chlorocebus sabaeus isolate 1994-021 chromosome 14, whole genome shotgun sequence.
GUCUCAAAAACAAAAACAGACAAAUAAACAAAAUGGUUGCUUGAUGCAGAGAAUAUUAGCAUGGCCCCUGCCCAAGAUUGACACACAAAUUUAUAAAGCAUUCUGUAUUUAA